AGAAUCAUCCAAAGGAAACCUCUAAAAGUACGUAGGUGGAUGUCACGGUGCCUUUAUUAUUAUUAUUACAUUAUUGUUAUUGCUAUUACAAGUAUCAUUUGAGUUGCCUAGAUAGGUAUUGAGAUUUCCCAGAACCUAAAAGUAUUGAAAUCAAGGAGAAUAAGACACCUAGGUGCUAUGGAGGAUUAAGAACACCUCCACCUAUCCUCAAGCAUCCAAAUACCACCAGAAGUCUGGGCCAAAGUGAAGAGAGAGAAUCAAAUAGGCCAUCUACAGAUGAAGCAGGCUGGGAAGUGAUUUUGAUGAAUGACAGAAACGAGAUUCUGUGGGAAUCUGAAUAGGAUUUUUUUCUCUCUUUUUCUUUUCUUUUCUUUUUUUUUUUUCCUGCAUCAGGAAAUGACUGCAACACUACGAAAUUUGUAGCACAAAAUAUUUGUAAAAGCCCAGCCACCCAAGUGGUUUUCAGGGUAAUUUGUUUCAAUCAGCGGUGCAAAGAAUUAUUGCUAUCGGUGGAAGGAAUGGGCUGCUGUGCUUACAUUGUUUGCUGUGAAGCAGGACAAGAGCCGCACCAUUUUGAUAGUAGUGAUUUCAUCAACAGGAGAAAUACACAGCCCCGGACCCUGGUCGUGUAAUUUUAAAAAGCUCUCCGUUUAGCUUUAGAAAUAAGCAACCAGAACGGUCUGAAAUUAUAUAUUUCCACUCUCUGUACUAUUUUAACUCAGCUGGGCUCUGAGGCUAUGGUCUGUGUCAGGGCUUCCUCUCGACACAAUUAUUGUAAUUCAUUAUUAAACUGUUAUUUGUUUUCAUUCUUUACACUGUCUGGUGCUUUACAAAGCCCAGCAGCCAGAUUUAUAAUAUGGAGAGCUCUGUUCCAUUACAUUACAGCUUCCCCAUAGUAUUUUUCUUGGCACGUUCAACAACACAUUGAUUUGGGUAUUUAAUUCCUUACAUGCUAUAGAUUAACCCAAAUCUACGUGCUGCUUUUAAGUAUUUCCUGAGCUUAGCAGUUUUCCUAGCCUGAACUGCAACCCAAGCACAAAGUUUUAAAAUUAUUUCAGUGCUUGUAGCCAAAAUACUGUAUCCGAGCAUUGUCAAACUUGGACGUUUGGUCCAAGUCCAAAAUGGCCUCUGGAUCUCAUUUUUGUGAAGUCCAUCUUGUUUUCACCUGCCAACAUACCACUCGAGGGAUAGGUGAACUGUUGUGUUAACUGCAUGCCCUUGGGUACCAUUUCAUCUCUUGGAGACUUAGAAGCAUCAUCUGUCAGCGUGGCUGGGAUGGGACUGGUGAGUUACGUGCUCUGUACCUGUCACAACUAAUAGCAAAGACUGAAGGGAACCACUGCUCUGCUGCUGGGCUCCCAAAUUCCCCCUGCUAUCGCUGGUCUUGGUGAAGACAGCGGCGGUUCCCACAUGCAGGGCUCAAUCCAGCCUCCGUCUCAUCUGUAAAUACAUCCACACUUGUCUCCUCCCAGCUCUUAGCAGGACUUGCGCUCAAACUUCUUACUGACAAAUCCAAACCUUGGUGGCACUGCAGACUUUCAUUCUCGAAUCACACAUUUUCUACCGUUCCUUACCUUACUCCUUCCAUUUGUACGCCGCUCCCAUUUCCUUGCUGCCAUCUCCUCCGAUCGCCGCUGUUUCCUACUUUCUUCUCCCAGACUACAGACUCCCCCUCCCCUCCCAGGGCUUUCCUGUUUAUUCCUUUUUUCAUGUUUCUCCAUUAAUAUCCCUUUUAUUUUCACUUUCUUUUUAUUCUUCCUGCCUUCCUUCGAUAGGUACAAAUAUUUCCCUCCCUCUCCUUUCUCUUUACUGUCUCUUCUCUUUCCCCAGACUCCUUCCUCGAAGCCUUUGUAUUGGUGUCCUCUUGAGCUCGUUCUUUCUCUGUCUUAAUCUAGGUUCCCGUAUUCCACGCUUGUAAUUCUCUUUGCUAGCCGAGAUAAGCAUUUGUCCCCAGGAAAUGUCCCUGUUCAGGCAUGUCCCUACGUCCCUUUGUUUUCUUCAGCUUUUGUAAUUCCCAGCGCACCUGUGUGCCUGAAGAAGCCAUUCAUCAACGCACAGAGGCAGGCAGCUCAUCAGAGUGAGCUCUGCGUGCGGACCUGCCUCCAGUAUCCCCUCUUCUUCACCCACAGAGCCUCUGAAGAAGCCCUUGCUGGCACGAAGGCAGGGGCUGCAGGACACCGACCCGUCCCUCCUCGCUCCUCACCUUCUGUCAGAGCACGCAGCCCUCUGUCUCCGCAGUACGUGACUUUCUUCUGCUGGAAAUGUGCUGGGAUUCCAGGAGAGCAUAAUCGAGCAAAAGUUCAUCCGUUGCAAGAGCUGCUAAAGGUAGGACGUUUUCAAGCUCUAUUUGUCUAUUAUCCCCCAAAGCUGCCAUUCUCCCUUGCUGUGUGCAGAGCUGUGAUAGCUGGUGGGUUCUGCACAGGCACAGGAGGUGGAGGCAGUACUGUUGGCACUGUGGCUACAGGCCUUGUGGAAAAAAUGUCCUGUUCCUGUAAUGUGCUUCCACGUUUCUGUGCACGCAGUGAACGCAGCGGGCUGAGUUUUAUCUCUAGUUUAAGUCUGCUGACGUGCAGUAAGCAAUCUGUGGUGUUCAGAAGGAGCCAUGUUUUGUCUUGUUUGUCCGCUCCGGCUUUGGAACAGAGUUGGUAUGGUUUGGGUACACUCAGGAGACUGUGGCUUUCCUAUGGACGUAUGCGCAGCGGUUGAACUACAAGUUGUGGAGGCACUGAGGCACUUACCAGGCAACAGCAUUAGAGCCGUAUGGAAAGGAGGAGGGAAAAAGAGGAAGAAAACAUCUCUAUGUGUGGAUGAGGGGGUUUCUCGUAGUUGGCUUUUCAGCCACCAUGGAAUGGCAGGGGAAAAAAACCAGCCUAAACCAGGUCCUUUCUUCCGUUCUCCCAGUCCUUUGGCCAACACCUGCCCAAACUUCGGCUUUGUUUGGUAUUAUUCCUUGUUGUGCACCGUUCCUAUAGGGCUGGGUUUAAGGAGAUUUCCAUAGGGUAGCAUUAGUGCCAUCAGUGGGAACACUGCAACUUCCCGCACGGCCCAUAGUGCGCGCUGUUCCCGGUGCACAAAGGUAAAAAAAUAAAAGCACUGCAGCCUCUCUGUGAGCUGCAAUGCCAGUGGCUCAUUUUCAAGAGUCUGUCUUGGAUCAAUCAUGGGCUGACAUGGUGGCUGCUACCAGCACGGCUGCCCUAUGGGACGGCUGCUGGUGGGGCACGGAGCAGGCGCGUCUGUGCUGUUUGCAGGCGCGGUGGGCAUCUUUUCGCGGUAUCACACACAAGCAGCAGGCAGUGCAUGUGCCGUGAGCUCUGCCAGCCCCUGCCAGGGCGUGCUGUGAGGCCACCUGUGGCGUGAGCGUGUUAUUGCUGCCCGACGGCACCCACACGUGGUGCUGCUGUGGCCGUGCGUGGUUUUCCUGCCACCUCGACGAGUGGUUUUCCUGCUGGGCAAACUUUCCAACGUGGAUAGAAACGAUAGAAAUGUAUGUUUGCACAUCGAAAUCGGCAAUUUAUUUGACAAACAGGCACGGAGGUGUCCAGUUAUCCCUUUUGCUUAUGCAAAUACGAGUUUUCCCAGGCACGACAGCUGUGCCAGCACAGUGAUUAUUUCCAUAAGGUUAUCAGAUUGUUAUCAGGAGGGGACGUGCCUUGUAAUAAUGCUCGGGAGCAGUUCUGGGGCAUGGCUGGUGCCGACGUGGGAAGCGUACGGACAGGCUCACAGCAGUUAGGCUCACAGCUGGAGCGGUGCAGAAGGUUGAGCACAGCACCUGGCGCCGGGGCUGGGGGAGGGGUUGCGACCGGCGGCCUCUCUGCGUCUGGAGCGAUUGAGGCCGGGAUGUGCACGAAGCCUUCCCGCCCUGCCCCUUUGAGCAGCGGAGCUCUGCCUGGCCCUGGCGAUACGGGAGACCCUUAAGGCACGGGUUGAAGCUCCAGGGCCUGGCAGGGGCCCGGCCGUGCGGCAGCACUUUGUGCCUCACCUGGGGUGGGUUGGUGGAAGCUGCGCUCCUACCAGGGCCCAAAGCACGGGCAGCUCUCGUGGGCGUUGCAGACCCUCACUGCGGCACCCCGCUGCAAAUUCAUUGCAAAAUGUUUGAGACCGCCGCCGCAAUCCCAUUCCAGACCCCACUGCGCACCCCUCGCCGACCCCGUUGCGAGUCCAUCGCAAAACAGCGCAAACGGAGUUGCGCAGCACUGCGGCCCCCUUUGCAGGGCCACGGCUGCGCAGCACGGCAGGCCCCUUUGUAGGACUCUACCGCGCGACGCUGCGCACGCCAUUGCAGGACCCCACUGCAGGACCUCUCGUAGGACCUCCAACGCACAGCGCUGCAGGACCGCCGUUGCGCGGCG
ensembl:lncRNA